rnacentral:misc_RNA from 1 species
AUUGGUGACUUUAAUACGAAACUUCGUAAUGCACGUAAGUUCCUUGAAAAAGGAGAUAAAGUGAAAGCUUCUAUCCGUUUCAAAGGACGUGCUAUUACACAUAAAGAAAUCGGGAAAGAAGUUCUUGACCGUUUCUAUAAAGAAGUAGCUGAUAUCGCUGUUUUAGAAACAGCAGCUAAAAUGGAAGGUCGCAGCAUGUUUAUGAUGUUAGCACCUCAAACUACUGAUAAGUAAGAAGACUUUAGGAGGAUAUACAGAUGCCAAAACAAAAAACACACCGUGGUUCAGCAAAACGUUUCAAA